rnacentral:lncRNA from 1 species
AAAAAUACAUAAGGGUAGUACUCUUCUAUAAUUUACACCAAAAUUCUCAUCGAUCAAAAGCUGAAGCUCUCAAAAAGACUCGUGAGAACCAUGGCAAUGGCGGUUGGGAUCGGAGAAGGAAAUUCGGUCGCCGGCGGUGGAAGUUUAUCGGAACUUUACCAAAGCUCCAGGCGGCUCUUACUCAAGUCUUGGGAUGGUUUGGAGAGGCUCGAGCGUUUCGAGUACACUUCCUCUUCUUCUUCAUCUUCCAUCCCAUCGUCGUCUUCGAGCACUGGUAUAAUCGAUCCUUCGGAACAAUCAUUUGACUCGGUAAGGAAAGAUAUCGCUCAGAUCCAGUCGCUUUGCUCCGAAAUGGAACUUUUCUGGCGAUCUAUACCUGCCAAAUCCCAGCGUGAUCUCUGGAAAAGGUACGCUUCGUUUUCAUUCUUUGUCAUUGAAUUUUGAUCUCCGAUAUUAAGAUUGAUUAUUUGGUUUGCUUUAAAAUAAAAUUUAUGUCGUAUUGGAAUGAUACGAGCGGAAUCUAUACGAGGAUUUAUAUUGCUGAUACAAUUAAUUUGGGAUUGAAACUAAGUUGAUUGUAAGUUGAACUUGAUGUUCGAUGUUUGUGCGAUUUAUGGUAUUAGUGUGGUUGAUUUCUUCGAUUAAGGUGAAAAAUGUUUGAAGAUCUAGCUUGCUCAAUACUUAUAAGAUCUUAUCAUCAGAUCUUUGUCCAAUGCAUCGUGGAUGUAUGUUGUAAAAGCUUAGUGCCAGUAGACUAGGUGUUUUGUGAUCAAAUUAAAGCAUUUCGAUUGAGAUCCCAAAGUAAAGCAGUUAAGAAGAAAAUUAAUUUGAGAGAUACAGCAAUGCAAGUUCUAUAUAUAAUGUCAGAUGGAGGGAGUAUGGUCAAAACUGAGAAACGAAUGACAAAGAAUCCCAACAAAUUUAUGGCAUCUGGAUGAAAUGAGGAGGAGAUGAUGGGAAAUUUGAAUUGUUGAAUGAAAUGAUCUUACCACUUUCUUUAGCAAUAUUUUGAUUAAAACUGAAAACAUAAAAAAGGUUAUGAUACUUGUAGCAAUUUUUUUUCCUCAUAACAGAAGAGUUAAGGUUUGGCGUAACUGGUAAAGU